rnacentral:rRNA from 1 species
GUUGUAUAGUCAAGUAAUUAAGUGCAUGUGGUGGAUGCCUUGGCAGUCAGAGGCGAUGAAAGACGUGAUAGCCUGCGAAAAGCUCCGGGGAGGCGGCAAAUAUCCUUUGAUCCGGAGAUGUCUGAAUGGGGGAACCCACCUACUUUAAGGUAGGUAUUGCAACAUGAAUACAUAGUGUUGCAAGGCGAACGAGGGGAAGUGAAACAUCUCAGUACCCUUAGGAAAAGAAAUCAAUUGAGAUUCCCUCAGUAGCGGCGAGCGAACGGGGAUCAGCCCAUUAAGUUAUGUGUGUUUUAGUGGAACGCUCUGGGAAGUGCGAACGUAGAGGGUGAUAUUCCCGUACACGAAAGGGCACACAUAAUGAUGACGAGUAGGGCGAGGCACGUGAAACCUUGUCUGAAUAUGGGGGGACCAUCCUCCAAGGCUAAAUACUCCUGACUGACCGAUAGUGAACCAGUACCGUGAGGGAAAGGCGAAAAGAACCCCUGUGAGGGGAGUGAAAUAGAUCCUGAAACCGCAUGCAUACAAGCAGUGGGAGCACCUUCGUGGUGUGACUGCGUACCUUUUGUAUAAUGGGUCAGCGACUUAUAUUCAGUAGCGAGGUUAACCGUAUAGGGGAGCCGUAGAGAAAUCGAGUCUUAAUAGGGCGUUUAGUUGCUGGGUAUAGACCCGAAACCAGGCGAUCUAUCCAUGAGCAGGUUGAAGGUUGGGUAACACUAACUGGAGGACCGAACCCACUGUCGUUGAAAAGCCAGGGGAUGACUUGUGGAUAGGGGUGAAAGGCUAAUCAAGCCUGGUGAUAGCUGGUUCUCCCCGAAAGCUAUUUAGGUAGCGCCUCGGACGAAUACCAUAGGGGGUAGAGCACUGUUUCGGCUAGGGGGUCAUCCCGACUUACCAAACCGAUGCAAACUCCGAAUACCUAUGAGUACUAUCCGGGAGACAGACUGCGGGUGCUAACGUCCGUAGUCAAGAGGAAAACAAUCCAGACCGCCAGCUAAGGCCCCAAAAUCAUAGUUAAGUGGGAAACGAUGUGGGAAGGCAUAGACAGCUAGGAGGUUGGCUUAGAAGCAGCCACCCUUUAAAGAAAGCGUAAUAGCUCACUAGUCGAGUCGGCCUGCGCGGAAGAUGUAACGGGGCUAAAACUAUGUGCCGAAGCUGCGGAUGUAUACUUUGUAUACGUGGUAGGGGAGCGUUCUGUAAGCCGAUGAAGGUGUGUUGAGAAGCAUGCUGGAGGUAUCAGAAGUGCGAAUGCUGACGUGAGUAACGACAAAACGGGUGAAAAACCCGUUCGCCGAAAGACCAAGGGUUCCAGUCCAACGUUAAUCGGGGCUGGGUGAGUCGACCCCUAAGGCGAGGCCGAAAGGCGUAGUCGAUGGGAAAAUGGUUAAUAUUCCAUUACUUCUGUAUAAUGCGAUGAGAGGACGGAGAAGGCUAAAUCAGCCUGGCGUUGGUUGUCCAGGUGAAAGGAUGUAGGCAUGUAUCUUAGGCAAAUCCGGGGUACUCUAUGCUGAGAUCUGAUAGCAAGCUGUACUUGUACAGCGAAGUGGUUGAUGCCAUGCUUCCAGGAAAAGUCUCUAAGCUUCAGUUACACAGGAAUCGUACCCGAAACCGACACAGGUGGUCAGGUCGAGUAGACCAAGGCGCUUGAGAGAACUCUGCUGAAGGAACUAGGCAAAAUGGUACCGUAACUUCGGGAGAAGGUACGCUGUUGUUGGUGAUGGAACUCGCUUCCUGAGCUGACGACAGCCGCAGAAACCAGGCCGCUGCAACUGUUUAUUAAAAACAUAGCACUCUGCAAACACGAAAGUGGACGUAUAGGGUGUGAUGCCUGCCCGGUGCUGGAAGGUUAAUUGAUGGGGUUAGCGUAAGCGAAGCUCUUGAUCGAAGCCCCAGUAAACGGCGGCCGUAACUAUAACGGUCCUAAGGUAGCGAAAUUCCUUGUCGGGUAAGUUCCGACCUGCACGAAUGGCAUAAUGAUGGCGGCGCUGUCUCCAGCAGAGGCUCAGUGAAAUCGAAAUCGCUGUGAAGAUGCAGUGUACCCGCGGCUAGACGGAAAGACCCCGUGAACCUUUACUGCAGCUUGACACUGAACUUUGACCUUACUUGUGUAGGAUAGGUGGGAGGCUUUGAAGCUGGAACGCUAGUUCCAGUGGAGCCGUCCUUGAAAUACCACCCUGGUAAUGUUGAGGUUCUAACUCUGUCCCGUGAUCCGGGACGAGGACCGUGUCUGGUGGGUAGUUUGACUGGGGCGGUCUCCUCCUAAAGAGUAACGGAGGAGUACGAAGGUGCGCUCAGCGUGGUCGGAAAUCACGCGUAGAGUAUAAAGGCAAAAGCGCGCUUAACUGCGAGACCCACAAGUCGAGCAGGUACGAAAGUAGGUCUUAGUGAUCCGGUGGUUCUGUAUGGAAGGGCCAUCGCUCAACGGAUAAAAGGUACUCUGGGGAUAACAGGCUGAUACCGCCCAAGAGUUCAUAUCGACGGCGGUGUUUGGCACCUCGAUGUCGGCUCAUCUCAUCCUGGGGCUGAAGCAGGUCCCAAGGGUAUGGCUGUUCGCCAUUUAAAGAGGUACGCGAGCUGGGUUUAGAACGUCGUGAGACAGUUCGGUCCCUAUCUACCGUGGGCGCUGGAAAUUUGAGAGGAUCUGCUCCUAGUACGAGAGGACCAGAGUGGACGAACCUCUGGUGUACCGGUUGUGACGCCAGUCGCAUCGCCGGGUAGCUAUGUUCGGAAGGGAUAACCGCUGAAAGCAUCUAAGCGGGAAGCCUACCUCAAGAUAAGAUUUCCCUAGGACUUUAUGUCCUCUAAAGAGCCGUUCGAGACUAGGACGUUGAUAGGUUGGAUGUGGAAGCAUAGUGAUAUGUGAAGCUGACCAAUACUAAUUGCUCGUGAGGCUUGACUAUACAACACCCAAGCAGUUG